GUCUGCGAAUGAGGAGAUAUAUGAAAUAUACAGUUAUCCCUGGCUGAUUUUCUGUGCUGAUAUUUCUUUGAAAUCUGACGCAAAA
rfam:Corchorus olitorius cultivar O-4 contig19251, whole genome shotgun sequence.